GAUGAACGCUAGCUACAGGCUUAACACAUGCAAGUCGAGGGGCAGCGGUAUCGAAAGCUUGCUUUCGGUAGCCGGCGACCGGCGCACGGGUGAGUAACGCGUAUCGAACCUGACUCAUACUCGGGAAUAGCCUUGCGAAAGUAAGAUUAAUGCCCGGUGUUUUCAGAGUCCCGCAUGAGGCUUUGAACAAAGAUUUAUCGGUAUGAGAUGGCGAUGCGUCCCAUUAGCUUGUUGGCGGGGUAACGGCCCACCAAGGCAUCGAUGGGUAGGGGUUCUGAGAGGAAGGUCCCCCACAUUGGAACUGAGACACGGUCCAAACUCCUACGGGAGGCAGCAGUGAGGAAUAUUGGUCAAUGGGCGGAAGCCUGAACCAGCCAAGUAGCGUGCAGGAAGACGGCCCUCCGGGUUGUAAACUGCUUUUAGUUGGGAAUAAAACGGGGCUCGUGAGCCCCCUUGCAUGUACCAUCAGAAAAAGGACCGGCUAAUUCCGUG
rnacentral:rRNA from 1 species